rnacentral:rRNA from 1 species
UACAUGGGGUGCAAACGUUGCUCGGAAUUAUUGGGCGUAAAGCGCAUGUAGGCGGUUUGUUAAGUCGGAUGUGAAAGCCCUCGGCUCAACUGAGGAAGUGCACCCGAAACUGGCGAGCUUGAGUACGAAAGAGGAUCGCGGAAUUCCCGGUGUAGAGGUGAAAUUCGUAGAUAUCGGGAGGAACACCGGUGGCGAAGGCGGCGAUCUGGGUCGAUACUGACGCUGAGGUGCGAAAGCGUGGGGAGCAAACAGG